AUUGAACGCUGGCGGCAGGCUUAACACAUGCAAGUCGAGCGGAGCGAGGGUGCUUGCACCUUAGCUUAGCGGCGGACGGGUGAGUAAUGCUUAGGAAUCUGCCUAUUAGUGGGGGACAACAUUCCGAAAGGGAUGCUAAUACCGCAUACGCCCUACGGGGGAAAGCAGGGGAUCUUCGGACCUUGCGCUAAUAGAUGAGCCUAAGUCGGAUUAGCUAGUUGGUGGGGUAAAGGCCUACCAAGGCGACGAUCUGUAGCGGGUCUGAGAGGAUGAUCCGCCACACUGGGACUGAGACACGGCCCAGACUCCUACGGGAGGCAGCAGUGGGGAAUAUUGGACAAUGGGGGGAACCCUGAUCCAGCCAUGCCGCGUGUGUGAAGAAGGCCUUUUGGUUGUAAAGCACUUUAAGCGAGGAGGAGGCGCUCUAGGAUAAUACCCUAGAUGCGUGGACGUUACUCGCAGAAUAAGCACCGGCUAACUCUGUGCCAGCCGCCGCUGUAA
rnacentral:rRNA from 1 species